AUCCUCCUCUUCCAUCCUUCUUCCAGCUACUGUCCAGGUGCCCUUCAGCUUAAGGAUGUUAGUAAGAAAAAGAUCCAUGGCCGGCUAGUUCUUCGCAUCUCAAAAAAUGACUGUAAGUUCUCUAGAUGGUGUUCUUCCUUUAUAAAUAUUUUGUGUUUCCUUUUUGAUAUGCAAUAAAAGACUUGUUUUUAUCUUCUUAUUAUUUAUGCUUUUUAUUUAUUUUACUUGAGAUCGUAGUCUUUGAAUAGUUUAUGACUACAUAGAGACGGAUUGUGAUCUAA
rnacentral:lncRNA from 1 species